GACGAACGCUGGCGGCAGGCCUAACACAUGCAAGUCGAGCGGCGCGUCGGACGAGUAAGUAAUCCCUAGGAAUCUGCCUGGUAGUGAGGGAUAACGUUCGGAAACGGACGACAAGACAGCAUACUAUCAGAUGAGCCUAGGGCGGAUGAGCUAGUUGGAGAGGUAAUGGCUCACCAAGUCUACGAUGCGAAACUGGGCUGAGAGGAUGAUCAGUCACACUGGAACUGAGACACGGUCCAGACUCCGACGGGAGGCAGCAGUGGGGAAUAUUGGACAAUGGGCGAAAGCCUGAGCGAGCCAUGCCGCGGGUGUGAAGAAGGUCUUCGGAUUGUAAAGCACUUUAAGUUGGGAGGCGUUAUCGAACGAAUAAGCACCGGCUAACUCCGUGCCAGCCGCCGCGGUAAUAC
rnacentral:rRNA from 1 species